ACCGCAGACCGCCUUAUCGUCCGUGUGUAAACAUGGUAGGAAAGUCCGGACACCAAAGAGUAGCAUAGCGGGUAACGCCCGUCCGUUGAAAGGCGAGGACAAGUGCAACAGAAAGUAUGUACAGGUAAUGCUGUAGUGAAACCAGGUAAACUCUAUGCGGUGAAAUGUCAAGUAUAUCAGCAGUUUCUGAGUAAUCAGAAUAAGGGCGACUCGUCCGAUGUUGAAGGGUAGACAGCUUGAGUCACGCAGUAAUGCGUGAUCUAGAUAAAUGAUAAGGGUCCGUCAUUGGCGCGAUACAGAAUCCGGCUUAUAGGUCUGCAUUUUUU
rfam:Flavobacteria bacterium GWF1_32_7 gwf1_scaffold_119, whole genome shotgun sequence.